rnacentral:rRNA from 1 species
AUUGAACGCUGGCGGCAGGCCUAACACAUGCAAGUCGAACGGUAACAGGAAGCAGCUUGCUGCUUUGCUGACGAGUGGCGGACGGGUGAGUAAUGUCUGGGAAACUGCCCGAUGGAGGGGGAUAACUACUGGAAACGGUAGCUAAUACCGCAUAACGUCGCAAGACCAAAGAGGGGGACCUUAGGGCCUCUUGCCAUCGGAUGUGCCCAGAUGGGAUUAGCUAGUAGGUGGGGUAACGGCUCACCUAGGCGACGAUCCCUAGCUGGUCUGAGAGGAUGACCAGCCACACUGGAACUGAGACACGGUCCAGACACCUACGGGAGGCAGCAGUGGAGAAUAUUGCACAAAGGGCGCAAGCCUGAUGCAGCCAUGCCGCGUGUAUGAAGAAGGCCUUCGGGUUGUAAAGUACUUUCAGCGGGGAGGAAGGGAGUAAAGUUAAUACCUUUGCUCAUUGACGUUACCCGCAGAAGAAGCACCGGCUAACUCCGUG